AUGUCCUCUUGCUGUUGUCCUACUUUGAGUUGCUCUGGGCUCUGGAGAGUCCAGAGUGAGAGAUGUUCACGUAGCUGUCGACGUCAGCUCGGCCCUCUUCUCCGACGUUUCUGCUUAUGUGGCAGGAGACCUCAACAGAGCUGCACCCAGGAGGUCUUGGAAGAGAUGGUCUCUGGCUUCAACUAUUCCAGCUCCCUAGACAAUGAUCUGGUGCUCCCGACAAACAGGGAUCGGUGCUGCUCUGAGUUUUGGAUUCCUCGAUUCCAAGGUGACCAAGAAAAGAAAGAGCAAUGGUUGCACCAAAAAGGGCCCUGACCAUGUGCCAUCUGUGAGUUACCACCACUUGUUAUUGGAGGAACUUUAUCACAUUCUUUAUGGCUCUGCUGGAAGAGGACCCUGUAGGUUUGUGCUUGGCUUACUCCAGAUUUUGCCCCAUGGAUCUUUUCCCUUUGCUGAGUAUGUUUUCCUUUCACUGUAAUAAAUCAGACUCAUGACUACUACUAUGUGCUGAG
rnacentral:lncRNA from 12 species